GACGAACGCUGGCGGCGUGCCUAAUACAUGCAAGUCGAGCGGAAGUUGGAGAGCUUGCUCUUCAACUUUAGCGGCGGACGGGUGAGUAACACGUGGGCAACCUGCCCUGCAGAUCGGGAUAACUCCGGGAAACCGGUGCUAAUACCGAAUAGUUUUCGCCACCUCCUGGUGGCGUACGGAAAGACGGUUUCGGCUGUCACUGCAGGAUGGGCCCGCGGCGCAUUAGCUAGUUGGGGGGGUAACGGCCCACCAAGGCAACGAUGCGUAGCCGACCUGAGAGGGGGAUCGGCCACACUGGGACUGAGGCACGGCCCAGACUCCUACGGGAGGCAGCAGUAGGGAAUCUUCCGCAAUGGACGAAAGUCUGACGGAGCAACGCCGCGUGAGUGACGAAGGUUUUCGGAUCGUAAAACUCUGUUGUGAGGGAAGAACAAGUACCAACUAACUACUGGUACCUUGACGGUACCUCACCAGAAAGCCACGGCUAACUACGUGCCAGCCGCCGCAGUAAUAC
rnacentral:rRNA from 1 species